CGCGGCUGAUGGUCUACUGGCGGGCGGCAUCGCUGCCGGCCGUGCUCGGCUCAGGCGUGUAUGCCGGGUCUCGUUGGAGGCCGGACGCUUGUGG
rnacentral:tRNA from 1 species